GCCUUUGUGGUGUAGUGUUCAGCACGCUCGACAGGUAACCGAGAAGUCCGUGGUUCGAUUCCUGGCGAAGGUG
rnacentral:tRNA from 1 species